ACGAACGCUGGCGGCACGCUUAACACAUGCAAGUCGAACGAGAGAAGAGGAGCUUGCUUUUCUGAUCUAGUGGCGGACGGGUGAGUAACACGUGAGCAAUCUGCCUUUCAGAGGGGGAUACCGAUUGGAAACGAUCGUUAAUACCGCAUAACAUAAUUGAACCGCAUGAUUUGAUUAUCAAAGAUUUAUCGCUGAAAGAUGAGCUCGCGUCUGAUUAGCUAGUUGGUAAGGUAACGGCUUACCAAGGCGACGAUCAGUAGCCGGACUGAGAGGUUGAUCGGCCACAUUGGGACUGAGACACGGCCCAGACUCCUACGGGAGGCAGCAGUGGGGAAUAUUGCACAAUGGAGGAAACUCUGAUGCAGCGAUGCCGCGUGAGGGAAGAAGGUUUUAGGAUUGUAAACCUCUGUCUUCAGGGACGAAAAAAGACGGUACCUGAGGAGGAAGCUCCGGCUAACUACGUGCCAGCAGCCGCGGUAAUACGUAGGGAGCGAGCGUUGUCCGGAAUUACUGGGUGUAAAGGGAGCGUAGGCGGGAUCGCAAGUCAGAUGUGAAAACUAUGGGCUUAACCCAUAAACUGCAUUUGAAACUGUGGUUCUUGAGUGAAGUAGAGGUAAGCGGAAUUCCUAGUGUAGCGGUGAAAUGCGUAGAUAUUAGGAGGAACAUCAGUGGCGAAGGCGGCUUACUGGGCUUUAACUGACGCUGAGGCUCGAAAGCGUGGGGAGCAAACAGGAUUAGAUACCCUGGUAGUCCACGCGGUAAACGAUGAAUGCUAGGUGUAGGGGGUAUCGACCCCUCCUGUGCCGGAGUAAACGCAAUAAGCAUUCCGCCUGGGGAGUACGGCCGCAAGGUUGAAACUCAAAGGAAUUGACGGGGGCCCGCACAAGCAGUGGAGUAUGUGGAUUAAUUCGAAGCAACGCGAAGAACCUUACCAGGUCUUGACAUCGUAUGCAUAGCUCAGAGAUGAGUGAAAUCUCUUCGGAGACAUAUAGACAGGUGGUGCAUGGUUGUCGUCAGCUCGUGUCGUGAGAUGUUGGGUUAAGUCCCGCAACGAGCGCAACCCUUACUGUUAGUUGCUACGCAAGAGCACUCUAGCAGGACUGCCGUUGACAAAACGGAGGAAGGUGGGGAUGACGUCAAAUCAUCAUGCCCCUUAUGACCUGGGCCUCACACGUACUACAAUGGCUGUCAACAGAGGGAAGCAAAGCCGCGAGGUGGAGCGAACCCCUAAAAGCAGUCUUAGUUCGGAUUGUAGGCUGCAACCCGCCUACAUGAAGUCGGAAUUGCUAGUAAUCGCAGAUCAGCAUGCUGCGGUGAAUACGUUCCCGGGCCUUGUACACACCGCCCGUCACGCCAUGGGAGUCGGUAACACCCGAAGCCUGUAGUCUAACCGCAAGGAGGACGCAGUCGAAGGUGGGAUUGAUGACUGGGGUG
rnacentral:rRNA from 1 species